rnacentral:rRNA from 1 species
AGUGAACGCUGGCGGUAGGCCUAACACAUGCAAGUCGAACGGCAGCACAGGAGAGCUUGCUCUCUGGGUGGCGAGUGGCGGACGGGUGAGGAAUACAUCGGAAUCUACUUUUUCGUGGGGGAUAACGUAGGGAAACUUACGCUAAUACCGCAUACGACCUACGGGUGAAAGCAGGGGAUCUUCGGACCUUGCGCGAUUGAAUGAGCCGAUGUAGGAUUAGCUAGUUGGCGGGGUAAAGGCCAACCAAGGCGACGAUCCGUAGCUGGUCUGAGAGGAUGAUCAGCCACACUGGAACUGAGACACGGUCCAGACUCCUACGGGAGGCAGCAGUGGGGAAUAUUGGACAAUGGGCGCAAGCCUGAUCCAGCCAUACCGCGUGGGUGAAGAAGGCCUUCGGGUUGUAAAGCCCUUUUGUUGGGAAAGAAAUCCAGCUGGUUAAUACCCGGUUGGGAUGACGGUACCCAAAGAAUAAGCACCGGCUAACUUCGUGCCAGCAGCCGCCGCUG